UACGAAGGGGGCUAGCGUUGCUCGGAAUCACUGGGCGUAAAGGGUGCGUAGGCGGGUCUUUAAGUCAGGGGUGAAAUCCUGGAGCUCAACUCCAGAACUGCCUUUGAUACUGAGGAUCUUGAGUUCGGGAGAGGUGAGUGGAACUGCGAGUGUAGAGGUGAAAUUCGUAGAUAUUCGCAGGAACACCAGUGGCGAAGGCGACUCGCUGGAUCAUUGCUGACGCUGAGACGCGAAAGCGUGGGGAGCAAACAGG
rnacentral:rRNA from 1 species